rnacentral:snoRNA from 1 species
GACUUGUGUGAAAUCCCUUUUAACAGCUCAGUAUGUCACUUAUGACUGACAAGAUUCAGCUGUGAAGUCAACCAAAGC